rnacentral:tRNA from 1 species
GGUUCGAUGGUGUAGUUGGUUAUCACGUCUGUCUCACACACAGGAGGUCUCCGGUUCGAGCCCGGAUCGAACCA